AUGGGAUGGAGCUGGAUCAUCCUCUUCUUCAUGUCAGUAACUACAGGUGUCCACUCCCAGGUCCAGCUGCAGCAGUCUGGGGCUAAGCUUGGGAAACCUGGUUCCUCAGUGAAGUUGUCCUGCAAGGCUUCUGGCUACACCUUCACUAGCUACUUUAUGCACUGGGUGAAGCAGAGGCCUGGACAGAGUCUGGAGUGGAUUGGAUGGAUUUAUCCUGGAGAUGGUGAUACUAAGUACAAUCAGAAGUUCCAAGGCAAGGCCAAACUGACUGCAGACAAAUCCUCCAGCACAGCCUACAUGGAUCUCAGCAGCCUGACCUCUGAGGACUCUGCGGUCUAUUACUGUGUACGUUUUGAAAAUUUCCAUCACACAAUGGGAUUCUGUGUUUUAAACACACUUUUGAAUCAGAUCAAAGUCAGAAAGUUGUUGCACACAGGUUCUCACUGUGAACUGAACCAGAUCAUCCUCUACGUGGUGGCAUCAGCUCCUGAUAAGUGCAUUACUAGGAGCAGGGCUGAUGGGGAGCCAGGGACUGAAGUGAUCAUGGCAUCUUUAUACAUGUGA